rnacentral:rRNA from 1 species
CAGCCGUAAACAAUGUGCGUUAGGUAUGUCGGUAACCACGUGUUACUGAUGUGCCGAAGAGAAAUCGUGAAACGCACCACCUGGGAAGUACGGUCGCAAGGAUGAAACUUAAAGGAAUUGGCGGGGGGAGCACCGCAACGGGAGGAGCGUGCGGUUUAAUUGGAUUCAACACCGUAAAACUCACCAGGGAAGACUGUUACAUGAAGGCCGAGAUGAAGACUCUGCUAGAUUUCAGAGAGGAGGUGCAUGGCGUCAGUGACU